UACGGAAGGUCCGGGCGUUAUCCGGAUUUAUUGGGUUUAAAGGGAGCGUAGGCCGGUCUUUAAGCGUGCCGUGAAAUUUUGUGGCUCAACCAUGAGAGUGCGGCGCGAACUGGAGACCUUGAGUGCGCGGAAGGCAGGCGGAAUUCGUGGUGUAGCGGUGAAAUGCAUAGAUAUCACGAAGAACUCCGAUUGCGAAGGCAGCUUACCAGUCUGCGACUGACGCUCAGGCACGAAAGUGUGGGUAUCGAACAGG
rnacentral:rRNA from 1 species